UGUAGCCUAGAGGUAAAGCACUUGCCUUGUAUGCUUAAGGACCUGGGUUCAAUCCCCAGCA
rnacentral:tRNA from 1 species